CAGGCUCUUCUACCCGAGCCCCCCCUCCCCCCCAAGCAGAGAGACCCCAGCAGCAGCAGCAGCUGAUGAUGAAGAGAGAGGCAGUGGCAGAGGGGGGGGCACCUUUUAUUUCUAUUUUUAAAGGGACAGGACACUCAUUUCACCCCACUUCAACCUUGAAUUGAGGGGGGGUGGGGGGAAAAGGCGACUGAGUUCCUUCCCCCACCCUCCAGCCCCGAGCCCUAAGAAGGGGGAUUGAGCCAGAGAGAGAAGAAGGAGUUUCUUCUUCUUCGAAAACCCCCAUCCACGACUCCUACCCCCUCACCCCUCCACUCGCCUCCCUCUCGAGCCCCCUCCACCCCCCUCCUCUUUGGCCGUGAGAGGAGGAGAGAAAGACCAAAAGCCUCUUAGCAACACAGACCCUCCUCUGCUGCUGCUGUUACUGCUGCUGCUGCUGCUGCUGCUACUGCUGCUGCUGCUACUGCUGCUGCUGCUGCUGCUUGGCCCUGGCUGGAGACAUCUCACUACACCCAGCUCGCCUCCUCCUCCUGCGCCUCCUCCUCCUCCACUCCCCCCCCUUUAUUACCCUUUGUGUCAUCCUCCACAGCUCCAGGGAAGGCACUCCAAAGUGGGGGGCAGGAAAGAUGAACAUUGAAAAUGACAGUUUCUGCAUAUGGGAACUAGAUAUUGAAGCUUUAUGGUUUACACACAGGAUCUUUAGAAAUUAGAAACUCCAGGACCAAGGAAACAAAUACCAGAAACCAAGAGCACAAAGUAUUUUCUUCAUCACUCCACAGAACACUGAUACUUCUCUAGUUUCAUCAGAUUCAGAGAAAUGACCACCUUGGCAAAUGGCCACAGAGGAUGUCAACUGUUUUUUGGAG